ACCGUGCAAAGGUAGCAUAAUCAUUUGCCUUAUAAUUGAAGGCUAGUAUGAAUGGUUUGACGAGAAUUAAGCUGUCUCUUUUCAACUAAUUAUAACUUUAUUAACAGGUGAAGAAGCCUGUGUUUUAUUGAAAGACAAGAAGACCCUAUCGAGCUUUAAGAAAUUUAAUAGACUUAUCAUAUAUUUAUACAGAUGUAAGGCUAUUAAGAACUUUGGUUGGGGCGACUGAGGAACAUAAAAAGCUUCCUUUAUAAUUUAAGAACUUACAAGUAUUGAUCCAAUAAAUUUGAUUAAAGGAAUUAGUUACCGUAGGGAUAACAGCAUAAUCUUCUUUGAGAGUUCUUAUCGAAAAGAGGGUUUGUGACCUCGAUGUUGGACCAGAAUACCCAGAAGAUGCAGCCGUCUUCAAUGGUUGGUCUGUUCGACCAUUAAA
rnacentral:rRNA from 1 species